UCAAACAACUUAGACCAAAACUUUUAAAUUGGUUUUUGCUAGAUAUACAUGCAAGUAUCCGCA
rnacentral:rRNA from 1 species